UCCUCUGGAGAUUUCCCACACAGACGCUCCCAUUUCGAACACACAGUACACGGCCACAAUAGCAUUCGCAGCAAGUACGAAUCUAGGCCCUAAGUUUUCGAAUCGAUAUCACCUGAAGUUUGGGCCUGUGAAGUUCUAGGUAAAGUAUUAAUACUCUAUAUAUGCCUAUCUUUAUAUUGCAUAAUAAGAUUUAUAUAUAACACAAUUUACUGGUACAUUUGGUAGAAUUUUAGAUGUUAAAUUUUAGAGAAUCCAGAUUCCCUAACUUCACUACAUAAAUGCUUUAAUAAUUCCUCCUGAAUUACAUGUACUUUCCUCCCCAAAAGAUCUCUUUACAUCUGAAGGCCUCCAGUGUUCAUCUUCCAUGAAAGAAUUCCAUUUCUGGCUCCUCCAUGCUUUGUUCUCAGCAUUCCAUUUCAUCCAAUCAUGCAAGGACCAGUUUGAAAAACCCCUCCAGUGCUCAGGCAGACUAAUUCUCUCCAGCGUUUCUGCGUUCUGGGCAAAAUGUUUUGAGUUCUUUGUCACUUGUCAGUGAAUUCAGGUGAUCAGCAAGAUCUUGCAGUGGAUUUUGGAGACUGACUUUAUUCUUAACUCAUUAAAUCAUCAACGCGAGUUCGUAUUUUUCACAUUCUUUGUCUCAUGACUUCCUUUCUUUCUUGUUCAGCUCCAGAAGACAUGAAAGCAUUUUGAAGGAAAAGAUGCUCCUUAGUGCUAAACUAUCUCCUUUUUUCCUAAUUAUUGCUUUAUUUGCUUCUUUCUUUUAGUCUUUGUAUGAUAAAAAACUUAAAAACAAAUAAUUUCUUCUUUCACCAGCGUUGAUGUUUAGGUGGUGCAAGUGUGAUAAUAGAUAAGCGCAAUACAUGUUCUAUUAUUCUUUAUAACGAGUUAAUGAUUGAUCUUAUCUCAAUAUGAGAAAAACAAUCUUUUGGACCUGAUUGAACAAGAAACAGAUUUUUCAUUGCCAA